AUUUAUUGAAAAGCAUGUCCGUUUCCCACUUUACUUCGUUGAAGCUCAGUUGGCUGUCUCUUAAGAAUUUUGUCUGAAAACUUUAUAUCUUGGAAAAAUUUGGCUGACUUAGCUACUCAUGAUGAACUGAAACAUAGAAGUCGGGGUCACAGCAAAGCAGAACUCACCCAGAUGGUUCAGAUGAAAAAUCUUUCUUAAUGAAGAUGUAAAACCAAAGAGGAUGUCCAGAACCACGGAUGUGGGGCUGCCUUGAUAGAGUGGCUGCUUUUGACAUUUCAGCUCUGCAGUGUUUUGAGGACCCUCUUCUGUGUCAAACAGAUAUUCCAUCUUUUCAG
rnacentral:lncRNA from 13 species